rnacentral:lncRNA from 1 species
UUGCGAAAAGCACUGUACAUUGGCCAUGUUAUGUUUUGAUUUCUUUUGCUAAUGAAUAUCAUAUAUCCCUUACAAAAAGGUAUGACCUUAUAUGCUACCCGGGCUAUAUGAAACUCUCCUUUGCUCACUAGCUCAGAAACAUGCAAAAAUUGGACAUGCUGCAUAUUUAUUCAAAUAAAAAGAUAAAUAAUCUUUCAAAAAAAAGAUAAACACACCAAAAAUUGUAUCUUGAUGUAAUAACUAAGCUUGGUUCAGUUCCUGUGUCCUCCCACUCGCACAUAGAGAAGAAACAAAUCCGCAAAAGGUCUUAUCUUUGCGGGGGAGGACAGCUUCCACUUCCACUUGGUCUCCCUGGAUUCGGUGAUUCACAAUCUGCAAAAUAACAGGGUAAACAAAUUCAGUUCUAAGAUGGAAAAAAAAAGAUCUUGCUAGACAGAGAGCGCGCUCUCUGUAACGCUAACACGAGAUCCAUUCAUGUUCAUUCCCCCUCUAUCCUCUAUGUGAUAGCUUGGACCCCACAUGUACCGUUCUUAUCUUUAUGUUCUCAUGUUCCAUCCAUUCGACAAGAGCCUGCCUCCUUCUUCCCCCGCACAGCCGCCAGACUCUGCCCACCGACAGCCUCCAGCUUGCUAGCGAGCGGAGCCCUUUCUCUCCCCCUCUCCUCCCUAGUCCCCUUCCCUUUCCCUCCUCCUUUUCUCCCCAUCCUUUGCCCCCGCCUGCUCCCACCAUCUAUGCCCAGCGGCGAUCUUGCUGCCACCCACCCACCAUCUCGGCAGCUCCACACCGCUCUUUCGGUCUAUUCAGGGUCCUCUUCCCCCGCCGCUGGCUGCUCCCACCGCUCGUGCCCGACGGCGAUCUCGCCACCGCCCACCAACCAUUCCCGCCUCAACGUCCAUGGUGCCCUUUGCGAUCUACUCUGGUGUCCUCCGCCCCUGCCACCGGCAUGAGCCACCGGUUAUCCUUGUCCUGCACUACCCCGGUCGGUGGCACCCUUGCCAACCCACCAUCACCGUGGGUCCGACGUCACCCCAGGCGCUCCCUCUAAGCCCAACAGGCAUAGUUCAACCUAGCAACCUCCAACCCUGAAAACCCUAACCCCGUGACCCUUGUCUUCUUCUCCUUGUGUGGCAGAAGAUAGAGGUGAGAAGAGGACUCUAGAUUUAUGCUUAAAUCAAAAGAGCCCUCUCUAUUUAGCUUUCCUCAAAAAAAAAAAAGAUAAAACUACAUGCACACGUUGAAUCAUUGGAAUUUGAAAGGCUCUUACAUAAAUCGGCUCCAGCUCUGGUAACGGUGAUGGCGCCCAUGGCCAUAAUAAGAACCGCCAGCCAGAAGCAGAGAAGGGUGCGAAAGUGAGCUGCUCCGGACCUCACGGCCAUGGUUUAAUUUGUGACUUGAUUAUUCCUUUUUGCUCACAAGCAGAAACGUUUGUUCAGAGUUGAA